UACGUAGGGUGCAGGCGUUAAUCGGAAUUACUGGGCGUAAAGGGCGCGUAGGCGGCCUUCUAAGUCGGACGGGAAAUCCCCGGGCUCAACCCGGGAACUGCGUCCGAUACUGGAAGGCUUGAGUCCGGGAGAGGGAUGCGGAAUUCCAGGUGUAGCGGUGAAAUGCGUAGAUAUCUGGAGGAACACCGGUGGCGAAGGCGGCAUCCUGGACCGGCAUUGACGCUGAUGAGCGAAAGCUAGGGGAGCAAACGGG
rnacentral:rRNA from 1 species